UUUUGAUCACCUUAUACUGUUUUCUUAUAUUUCAGGUGGAGACUCUCUCAGAAAGCACCAACAACAACACUGUUUGGCUUGCACAGGUUCGUGAAUUUGAUGAAAUUUAAAAUUAAAUUGAGGAAAGGAGUCUGAAGAAAGCGAAGUUUUUGUAGACUGCUAUUGGUUUUUCUGGUUGGUUCGAAAUACUUUUGAGCUUGAGAGACAACCCAGAAUUCAAAUCAGAAAAAAAAAACCCCCCGCGAAUUGGAUCCCGAUUCGAAGAAAAUUUUAAGCCCAAAAAAAAGAUGUGCUCCCUGGUGAGUUCUCUGGCCGAUUUGGUUAUCUGUAAAUUUUGUGAGAAAUGUAGGAUUUUGUUCAUUUUUAUAUGCGGAUUCAUAGAUGAUAGAUUUCGUAUGAGCUACAUGCGUCCAACUAUUUUGUAGGAUCUACAAUUGCAAUGCCUUUGAUGGAUAAAGCACAUAGGACCCGGCUACUCUUAUAAAGCUUCUUUAGCAUCGUAAUGCUAUUCAUGGAGUGGUUCAAAGAAUUCCAAAAGCUUCAUUCACCCAAUUUAUGCUCUUCAUGUAAAAAUUCUUUCAAAAAGCUUAAACAUCUUUCAGUGUAAAUAACAAUAUCAUU
rnacentral:sRNA from 1 species